rnacentral:rRNA from 1 species
CGACAUUAAAAAGUAAUUGGGGGAUAGCUCGGGGAACUCGAAUUAAUACCGCAUACGACCUACGGGAGAAAGCCGGGCAACUCGUUGCUCUCGCUAUUAGAUGAGCCUAAGUCGGAUUAGCUAGAUGGUGGGGUAAAGGCCUACCAUGGCGACGAUCUGUAGCUGGUCUGAGAGGAUGAUCAGCCACACCGGGACUGAGACACGGCCCGGACUCCUACGGGAGGCAGCAGUGGGGAAUAUUGGACAAUGGGGGAAACCCUGAUCCAGCCAUGCCGCGUGUGUGAAGAAGGCCUUUUGGUUGUAAAGCACUUUAAGCAGUGAAGAAGACUCUUCGGUUAAUACCCGGAGACGAUGACAUUAGCUGCAGAAUAAGCACCGGCUAACUCUGUGCCAGCAGCCGCGGUAAUACAGAGGGUGCAAGCGUUAAUCGGAAUUACUGGGCGUAAAGCGAGCGUAGGUGGCUUGAUAAGUCAGAUGUGAAAUCCCCGGGCUUAACCUGGGAACUGCAUCUGAUACUGUCAGGCUAGAGUAGGUGAGAGGAAGGUAGAAAUUCCAGGUGUAGCGGUGAAAAUGCGUAGAGAUCUGGAGGAAUUACCCGAUGGCGAAG